rnacentral:rRNA from 1 species
GACGAACGCUGGCGGCGUGCCUAAUACAUGCAAGUAGAACGCACAGUUUAUACCGUAGCUUGCUCCACCAUAGACUGUGAGUUGCGAACGGGUGAGUAACGCGUAGGUAACCUGCCUGGUAGCGGGGGAUAACUAUUGGAAACGAUAGCUAAUACCGCAUAAUAUUUAUUAUUGCAUGAUAAUUAAUUGAAAGGUGCAAUUGCACCACUACCAGAUGGACCUGCGUUGUAUUAGCUAGUAGGUGAGGUAACGGCCCACCUAGGCGAAGAUACAUAGCCGACCUUAAAGGGUGAUCGGCCACACUGGGACUGGGAACCGGCCCAGACUCCUACGGGAGGCAGCAGUAGGGAAUCUUCGGCAAUGGACGAAAGUCUGACCGAGCAACGCCGCGUGAGUGAAGAAGGUUUUCGGAUCGUAAAGCUCUGUUGUAAGAGAAGAACGGGUGUGAGAGUGGAAAGUUCACACUGUGACGGUAUCUUACCAGAAAGGGACGGCUAACUACGUG